rnacentral:rRNA from 1 species
GACGAACGCUGGCGGCGUGCUUAACACAUGCAAGUCGAACGGAAAGGCCCUGCUUUUGUGGGGUGCUCGAGUGGCGAACGGGUGAGUAACACGUGAGUAACCUGCCCUUGACUUUGGGAUAACUUCAGGAAACUGGGGCUAAUACCGGAUAGGAGCUCCUGCUGCAUGGUGGGGGUUGGAAAGUUUCGGCGGUUGGGGAUGGACUCGCGGCUUAUCAGCUUGUUGGUGGGGUAGUGGCUUACCAAGGCUUUGACGGGUAGCCGGCCUUAGAGGGUGACCGGCCACAUUGGGACUGAGAUACGGCCCAGACUCCUACGGGAGGCAGCAGUGGGGAAUAUUGCACAAUGGGCGGAAGCCUGAUGCAGCAACGCCGCGUGCGGGAUGACGGCCUUCGGGUUGUAAACCGCUUUCGCCUGUGACGAAGCGUGAGUGACGGUAAUGGGUAAAGAAGCACCGGCUAACUACGU